AAACGUAGGUGGCGAGCGUUAUCCGGAGUUACAGGGCGUAAAGGGCGCGUAGGCGGCCUGGUAAGUCGUGCGUGACAGCUCCCGGCUCAACUGGGAGAGGUCGUACGAGACUGCCGGGCUCGAGGGUCGGAGAGGGAGGUGGAAUUCCCGGUGUAGCGGUGAAAUGCGCAGAUAUCGGGAGGAACACCGGUGGCGAAGGCGGCCUCCUGGCCGACGCCUGACGCUGAGGCGCGAAAGCGUGGGGAGCGAACGGGAUUAGAUACCCUAGUAGUCC
rnacentral:rRNA from 1 species